rnacentral:rRNA from 1 species
GUGGGGAAUCUUAGACAAUGGGCGCAAGCCUGAUCUAGCCAUGCCGCGUGAUCGAUGAAGGCCUUAGGGUUGUAAAGAUCUUUCAGUGGGGAAGAUAAUGACUGUACCCACAGAAGAAGCCCCGGCUAACUCCGUGCCAGCAGCCGCGGUAAUACGGAGGGGGCUAGCGUUGUUCGGAAUUACUGGGCGUAAAGCGCACGUAGGCGGAACAGAAAGUCAGAGGUGAAAUCCCAGGGCUCAACCUUGGAACUGCCUUUGAAACUCCUGUUCUUGAGUUCGAGAGAGGUGAGUGGAAUUCCGAGUGUAGAGGUGAAAUUCGUAGAUAUUCGGAGGAACACCAGUGGCGAAGGCGGCUUACUGGUCCAUUACUGACGCUGAGGUGCGAAAGCGUGGGGAGCAAACAGGAUUAGAUACCCUUGUAGUCC